rnacentral:rRNA from 1 species
GGUAGAGAGAAGCUUGCUUCUCUUGAGAGCGGCGGACGGGUGAGUAAUACCUAGGAAUCUGCCUGAUAGUGGGGGAUAACGUUCGGAAACGGACGCUAAUACCGCAUACGUCCUACGGGAGAAAGCAGGGGACCUUCGGGCCUUGCGCUAUCAGAUGAGCCUAGGUCGGAUUAGCUAGUUGGUGAGGUAAUGGCUCACCAAGGCUACGAUCCGUAACUGGUCUGAGAGGAUGAUCAGUCACACUGGAACUGAGACACGGUCCAGACUCCUACGGGAGGCAGCAGUGGGGAAUAUUGGACAAUGGGCGAAAGCCUGAUCCAGCCAUGCCGCGUGUGUGAAGAAGGUCUUCGGAUUGUAAAGCACUUUAAGUUGGGAGGAAGGGCAUUAACCUAAUACGUUAGUGUUUUGACGUUACCGACAGAAUAAGCACCGGCUAACUCUGUGCCAGCAGCCGCGGUAAUACAGAGGGUGCAAGCGUUAAUCGGAAUUACUGGGCGUAAAGCGCGCGUAGGUGGUUUGUUAAGUUGAAUGUGAAAUCCCCGGGCUCAACCUGGGAACUGCAUCCAAAACUGGCAAGCUAGAGUAUGGUAGA